UCUUUUCUCUGCUCCAUGGUUCUCAACUUAUUUGGGGGGAAAUACCUUGAGCAGAAUACAAUGGGAAAAGAGUCUCUACCCCUUUCUGUUCGAAGUUCAUUUUUAUCCCUUCCUGUCUGAACAAAAACUGUAUGGAAUCAACACCACCGAGCUCUGUGGGAAAAAAGAAAAACCUGCUCCCUUCGCUCUGCUAGAAGCUGGAGGGUGCUAGGCCCCUGUGUAGUAGUGCAUAGAAUUCUAGCUUUCUUCCUCCUUUCUCUGUAUAUUGGGCUCAGAGAGUACACUGUGUCUCUAUGUGAAUAUGGACAGUUAGCAUUUACCAAUAUGUAUCUGUCUACUUUCUCUUGUUUAAAAAAAGAAAAAAAAAACUUAAAAAAAUGGGGUUAUAGAAGGUCAGCAAAGGGUUGGUUUGAGAUGUUUGGGUGGGUUAAGUGGGCAUUUUGACAACAUGGCUUCUCCUUUGGCAUGUUUAAUUGUGAUAUUUGACAGACAUCCUUGCAGUUUAAGAUGACACUUUUAAAAUAAAUUGUCUCCUAAUGAUGACUUGAGCCCUGCCACUCAAUGGGAGAAUCAGCAGAACCUGUAGGAUCUUAUUUGGAAUUGACAUUCUCUAUUGUAAUUUUGUUCCUGUUUAUUUUUAAAUUUUCUUUUUGUUUCACUGGAAAGGAAAGAUGAUGCUCAGUUUUAAACA
rnacentral:lncRNA from 1 species